CUGAGACCUCUGCCUCCCAGGCUCCAGCAAUGGAACUACAGUUCACGUUUUGGAGACUUUUUAUGCAUCAGUUUGAAGGCUUUUAUUUAAUUUGAGAAUCAUCAGUGAGCUCAUCAAUUCUGGAAAUGGAAACAUCCCCAGUGUGCUUCAUGGAUAAAACCCUGUGACUCUGAACCCUGUCUCAGGACUUUGUGGAUUUUAACAUCACUCAUCAGCUCCGGCUUGCUGUUUAAAGUUUAUAAAAAAAUCAAUAAAAGGCAUUUAUUUAAUUUGACAUUAAUGCACCAGCUGAUCAAUUAUGGAAAUGCAAACAUUUCCAACAUGUUUUAUUGAUAAGAAUUUUAAGCAAAUAAAAGCAUCUCUUUGUA